AUUGAACGCUGGCGGCGUGCCUAACACAUGCAAGUCGAGCGGUAACAGGUGUAGCAAUACAUGCUGACGAGCGGCGAACGGGUGAGUAAUGCUUCGGAAUCUACCCAAUGGUGGGGAAUAACCAGCCGAAAGGUUGGCUAAUACCGCAUACGUCCCACGGGAGAAAGCAGGGGAUCGCAAGACCUUGCGCCAAUGGAUGAGCCGAAGUCGGAUUAGCUAGUUGGAGGGUAACGGCCUACCAAGGCGACGAUCCGUAGCUGGUCUGAGAGGACGACCAGCCACACUGGGACUGAGACACGGCCCAGACUCCUACGGGAGGCAGCAGUGGGGAAGUAUU
rnacentral:rRNA from 1 species